ensembl:lncRNA immediate early response 3
AUGUCGAUGGUGGCGGCGGCUGCGGCCACGGCCGCGUGUCCGGGGCGGUUUUGGGGACAUCCCGAGAGUGUCCCCAAAGGGGUGGCACCGUCCCCACCUCGUCACUUCACCUUCGAACCCCUCCCGGCUCGCCCCGGCCCUUCCAGGCCUCGGCGACGGCAUCGCCGCGUUCUUUAUCCGCCCGCUGUGCGUCGCCCCCUCCCCUCCGAAGAACCCAGCGCUGCCAAACGACUCCUGGUGCUGCUCUUGGCCGUGGUGGGCACCCAAAUCUACAACGCGCCGGGGGACGUCGGCGUCACCGAUGUCAUCACCGAUGUCACUGAGACCCCUUUGGGGACACCCAGGACCCUCCCAAUUCCAGAGGAGCCCCAAAUUCCCGCCGGGAACGCCGGGAUAGCCAACGGGACGACGCCGGUGGCGCCCGUGGGUGGCUCCUGUCCCUCUCUGUGGGUGUCACCUCCUUUGUCACCCCCCGGUGGCACCCAGGACUGGCACCCCCCUCUCAUCCUGGCUUAAUUAACCUUAAUUAAUUAAGGUCGAAGAGCUCCGGGUCGGAAGGAGACACCGACGUUGGGAUUCGGAAGCUGAGCCAUCCCAGUUUGGCACUGGGAGCACUGGGAAAGGGGGUGGAGCCAUGGAUUUUCCCAUCCCUUCAUUAAUUAGCUGGCUAAUUACCCUCUUAAUUAAUGACCGGCUCAUUAAUUAGCCCCCAGUUGAGGCGGGAACGAACCCGACGUUGGGAUUUGGAAGUUGGUCGAUCCCAGUUUGGCACUGGGAGCACUGGGAAGGGGCGUGGUCAGGGUGGCCUCGUUAACGAGGCUUAAUUAACGACGUCACCUCUACCUCAGCUUCAGCGCCGGUGGGUGCUGAGUUUAUGAAUUAAUUAUUUAAUAAUUAUUUAAUAAUUAUUUGUUGCUAUUUAUUUAUUAAUAUGUGUUCGCUAUUUAUUUGUUAUUUAUUAUUUAUUUGUGAAUAUUUAUUAAAUAUUUAUUAAUUACCUCCUAAAGAUUGUUUUUCAUUAAAUUUGACGGGGUAUUUAAUGUUUUUAAUUAAUGAAAUUCAUCAGUUGAAUUAAUUAAGGGGCGUCGUGUCUUUAUUGAGAGUUUCCUGUGGUCAGAACGAGGGGAGGAAAAUGACGGAAAUUCCCAAUUUUUUGGGAAUUCAAUCCCUAAAAUUUUUUGGGGGGAGGAAAAAAAAAAAAAACGGAAAAUCCCAAUUUUUUGGCAUUUUCAGCCCAAGCCGGAUUUUUAUUGACCCGACAAAGAAAAUACAAAGAAAUACAAAGUCACAAAAGUAACAAAAAACCAAAAAAAUUCCAUUAUUUCCUUAAAAAAAACAAACAAACAAAAAGUUAAAAAAAGCUCGAGUUCGCUCCCGUUUUUUGGGAAAAACCUGGAAAAUCCAAAGGAAAAUCCAGAUUUUCCUCCUAAACUCACAUUUGGUGGCAUUCAAGACCCAAACUUGGGAUUUUUUUCCCAAAUUUUUAUAUUUUCCUCAAAAUUCUAAUAUUCCCACAAAUUUUCCUGAUUUUUUUUUCCCCAAACUUUGAGGUUUUUUUCCACCAAUUCCGAGGCUUUUCCUGGAAUUAUGAGGGUUUUUUUCCCAACUUUCCAGGGUUUUUUCCUGGAAUUUUGAAUUUUUUUCACCCAAUUUUGGGUGGGUUUCCCAGAUUUCGGUGUUUUUCCCAAAUUUCCGCUGGGUUUUCCCAAGUUUUUUUGGGGUUUUUUUCCCCAAAUUUAAGAAUUUUUGGAGGGUUGGGAAGAGCCCCCAGUUUUGGGUUGGGCAAUCCCAGUUGGGCACUGGGAGCACUGGGAAUGCCGGGAAGUGACCGGAACCACGGAAUGCUGGGAAUUCCUCAAUGGAUUAAUGAAUGGAUUCACCCCUAAUUAAUUAAUUAGAGAUCGUUAAUUAGCCAAGGGAACGAGUUGGGACCAAUCCCAACGUUGAGUCUUGGGAUCGACCAAUCCCAGUUGGGCACUGGGAGCACUGGGAAUGCUGGGAACCACGGAAUGCUGGGAAUUCCCCACUUAAUUAAUGAAUUAAUGAAUGAAUUCAUCGCUAAUUAAUUUGAGAUCAUUAAUUAGCCACAGGAACGAGUUGGGACCAAUCCCAACAUUGAGUCUUGGGAUUGACCAAUCCCAGUUGGGCACUGGGAGCACUGGGAAUGCCGGGAAGUGACCGGAACCAUGGAAUGCUGGGAAUUCCCCACUUAAUUAAUGAAUUAAUGAAUAAAUUCACCGCUAAUUAAUUUGAGAUCA